GCCCUCUAUAAAAUAGAAGGUGAAACCUGCCCAAUGAUUAAUAACUUAUUAAUAAUAAAAAUAUUAUAAUUUAAUUUAAAGGACGCGGUAUCCUGACCGUGAUAAUGUAGCAUAAUCACUCGCCAUUUAAUUGAUGGAUUGUAUGAAUGGUUAUACGAAUAUGACACUGUCUCUAAUAAAAUAUUUAUGAAAUUGAAAUCUUAGUGAAGAUGCUAAGUUAUACUGUAAGACGAAAAGACCCUAUAGAGCUUAACUAUAGUCUUUUAUAAACCAAUAAAGUUAACUUUAUAAAAUUAAAAGAUAGGUAGUUUAGUUGGGGCGACUGUCUUUUAAAAUAAACAAAGACAAACAAGAUAAUUAUUUAAUUUACUGUAUAAUAUAUAUAUUUAACAGUUACUAAAGUAGGUAAUAAUGACCCGUUUUCUCUAUAUAAUAAGGAUAACGAUCAAUAAAUAAAAGCUACCUUAGGGAUAACAGGGUAAUUUUACUUUAGAGUUCAUAUCAAAAGUAAAGUUUGCCACCUCUAUGUUGAAUUAAGAUAUCCUAAUAAUGCAGAAGUUAUUAAAGGUAGGUCUGUUCGACCUUUAAAAUCUU
rnacentral:rRNA from 1 species